UCACUCCAUACGUGCACCAUACAUGUGGAGGACUGCACACACACACCUGUGGAGGAUGUAGAGGACCAUCUCUUUGCUUCCUGCACUGGCAGCGUGAUGACGUCAACUGCAGCCGGACGAGUCGAGUGAGGGGCAGCCUGACCAAAACAAGAUGAAGAGCUGUUAGCAUGUCUGCUACACCAUGCUGCCUCACUUCAACAUUUGGUGUUUCCUGCUCUGAACUCUGAAGAGAAGGAUCUGUGCUGCAGCUGGAAGGAGUUUCUUUAGAUUAA